GGUCUUAUAGUUAAAAUAAUAAUAUUAAACUGCAAUUUUAAAGUCAAGUAAAAAAAUUUAAGGCUU
rnacentral:tRNA from 1 species